rnacentral:lncRNA from 1 species
AUGUGCUUUAAUGCAUUUGAUAAAGCUGCUAACCUUGAUGUCUUGGACCAUCCCAUUCUGAAUUUUAUAUAUUACCUGGUGAGUUUGUAUGUUUGUUUGUAUUUCUUCAUUGUGGUACUUUGUUUUUUCUAUAUUCCCCACUUUUUCUCAUUGUUGUGCUGUUCAAGUUAUAUCAUUUCUAUAUUUAGGUCUAUUUUGGGCUUAUAUGGUUAAUCUUGGUUUGAGAUUAAUUCUGAAAGCUGACACAUUCCCUACUUAAAUUUUGUUGGACACUGUUAAAUUACAUGCAUUGGUUUUAUGAACCUAUAUAAAUUCGUCUUUUCUUUUUGGCACAUAAUUUUAGGCGAUAGAUUUGAUAAAUUGGAUAACCAAGUAAUUAUUGCUGUUUCAAAUCCUCCUAUUCAUGUUGUUAGGGGUUGAUAUCCUGAUAAACUUUUCAACUUCUGGUGGAAUUCUUUCUCUUGGAAAAAAAACGGCUAAUUAAUUUUCUGAAGUCAAUUAAAAAGGAACUGAAAUGAUUUAGGUAGAUAUUUUACGUUUGCUCUCAAGGGUAAGUAAUAAAAAAAAGGGGGUCCUAGGUCAUUUACCUCAUCCUUUUCACAUUUUUGUGCAGAUGGUGGAAAUAUUGCCUUCUUCUUUGGUCCUUUUCAUUUUGAGGAAGCUGCCACCCAAGCGUGGUAUCACACAAUAUCAUCCCAUUCGCUGAAAAGAUAGCAUGUGAAGAAAACUAAGUCAGUAUUUCCUUGGUGGUUCUCUGAUUUCUUUGAAGUUUCUCACACCCGAGGGAUAAUUUCUAGAGGACACAGAAGUCAGUCUUUCUUCUGUUGAGUGACAAAGCUAAUAUCAUUGUUUUAAAGUUCUCCUAAGGUUUGUAGGUUUUCAAACGUGACAUUUAAUGGAUUGUCAAACGUGGUGGAUUGUGUUAUGUAAGUGAUAUUUUGCAUUGUCUCUAGGAAAAUGUGGUUGCCGUUUCAGUCAGAUUCCACAAUUCAACACAAUGAGUGAGCAACCUUUUUUGGGAGAAAAGGACACUGAUAUAAAUUAUUGUAUAAUAGCUUUUAAGUCUUGUAA